UACGGGGGGGGCAAGCGUUGUUCGGAAUUACUGGGCGUAAAGGGCUCGUAGGUGGCCAACUAAGUCAUGCGUGAAAUCCCUCGGCUUAACCGGGGAACUGCGUCUGAUACUGGAUGGCUUGAGUUUGGGAGAGGGAUGCGGAAUUCCAGGUGUAGCGGUGAAAUGCGUAGAUAUCUGGAGGAACACCGGUGGCGAAGGCGGCAUCCUGGACCAAUUCUGACGCUGAGGAGCGAAAGCCAGGGGAGCAAACGGG
rnacentral:rRNA from 1 species